rnacentral:rRNA from 1 species
GCUUAAGGCCAUAUCAGCCUGGGUACGCCCGAUCUCGUCUGAUCUCGUAAGCUUUGCAGGGUCGGGCCUGGUUAGUACUUGGAUGGGAGACCGCCUGGGAAUACCAGGUGCUGUAAGCA